UCCGAGGGAUGCAAUCGUUAUCCGGAAUUAUUGGGCGUAAAGCGUUUGUAGGCGGGCGAGUGUGUUUAAUGUUAAAUCUUAAAGCUCAACUUUGAAAUUGCGUUAAAAACUGCUUGGCUUGAGUAUGGUAGGGGUAAAGGGAAUUCCCAGUGUAGCGGUGAAAUGCGUAGAUAUUGGGAAGAACACUAAGCAGCGAAGGCACUUUACUAGGCUAAUACUGACGCUGAGAAACGAAAGGUAAGGUAGCGAAACGG
rnacentral:rRNA from 1 species